CAGGAUAGCUCAGUUGGUAGAGCAGAGGACUGAA
rnacentral:tRNA from 1 species